rnacentral:lncRNA from 1 species
UGGCAAACAAAUGGAGCCUUAACUUAUUCAAAAUUUGAGCUCCAACUGGACUCAAAAUUAGCUAAAGUUUUAUAAAAUUUCACUUUCAAAAUUCAACUUGAUUCAACACAAAAGUUGAAUUAUUUGAGGAGGUUGUCAGGCCUUGGCCCUUAAAAAUAAAAACUUAUAGUUUAGUCUAUAUAGAAAUAAUAAAAUUAUAAUUUAAUUUAUAGUAAAAAUUAUAUUUUGAUCCUCUUAAAAAUUAAAAAAAUUUUCUUUCUAUUUAGUCUUUUAAAAAAUAACGAAAUUAUAAGUUAAUACAUGAUAAAUUUAUAUUUUAAUUUCUUAAAAUUUUAUAAUUCAAUUCCAACCCGCUAAAAAAGUUUCUGGCUUCGCUCCGAUUAUUUCAGCUCACUAAAUUAGAUUUACAAUCGCAGAUUAAAAAAACAAAUAACAUAUUUAUUGCUAUAACGCAGGUUUUGGCAAUCAUGAACAUCGCUUUGUUUGCAGACCAAACAUUCGACAUAUAGGGUUAAGAAAAUAGGAAAAUAAAAAUAGAACAAGUAAGAAAAAUAUGAUUCAUCACUAAGAAUCAUAUUAAGAAUAGGAGAUUCAGAUUCAUAACCAAAUAUGGGAAAUUAAAAGUAUUACCAUCAAUAGCUUUCUAGUGGGUCGAUAAUGUUUGGAUUUGUUACAAUUGUUGAGAACACAGUUUGGUAGGUAUUGUUCCCUACCUUAUAUCAUGAAAUUGGUAUUAGGCGACGACAUUGGAACCGCAGUUGGGAAGGCAACAUGAGAGACAACCCCUAUUCAAUUACGUUGUUGUUGCAUGGUAGUUUCACUUACGGCCUAUAAGUGGUAUUCCAAAUCCUUCUUCCUCUCUUGGCCAUCACUAUUUUGAAUCUGGUUGCCCUUGCUGUUCAAUUCGUUGCUUUUCUCUCUUUCUAUUAUUUCCACUCAGUCAUUGGGUUCCGAAACAGAAUAUUGACAAAAACCUCAUCUCUUGGGCUAGCUUCACAUAUGUGGCUCAAUAAGGAUUGGACCUACAAAGAUAUCCUCCCCCCUUUACAACUAGAU